GAUUUGCAAAGACUCCCUUAUCUUACACACUUUAUUAUCUCGGGAGAAUAUGAAGAAGAUGUGCUAGAGUCCUUUCCAGAGGAGGGUCUGUUGCCCUCGACUCUCAUAUCGCUCUGUAUCCAAUCUCUACCAAAUCUCAAAUCGCUCAACACCAAGGGCCUUGAGCAUCUUGGCUCUCUCAAAAACAUGAGGAUUGCCGGCUGCCCCAAACUCCAAUCCUUGCCGGAAGAAGGGCUUCCAACCUCCCUCCUCCUGCUGGAAAUCUCCGAGUGUCUACUGCUGAAACCUCGCUGCCUGAGGGAUCAAGGACAAGACUGGCAUAAGAUUGCUCGCAUCCCCUUUCUACAUACGGAUUCUGAACUCAGCUUUGAUCAACGCACUGUUGGUCCAACACAACCCUACAGUCUUUUUUCUGAAUUCGACACUGCAAUAUUUUGAACUUUCCACUCAGAAAAGAAAAAGGUCAAAUGUUGACCACCAAGGGGCCAUCCUAAUUGGUAAAGGAAUUUGCUCAUCUCCUUAUUGACCAGGAUUCGAAUCCCUUACUACUCAAGUGGAAGUCUGAUGAUUUAGCUAGAUCGACUAGCUUGCCCCCCCUUGGCUUGGUGUAUCAAUAUUUUUGAACUUUCCACUCAGAAAAUCAGGUUGGUGAAAGCUUAGUGUUUGACACUAUGUACAGAAUUUUGUCCCUCGCAUUGGUGCUUGCAAACUUCUUGGAUGCAUCAACAUGGCAAGCAAUAUGUCACCAGCCAUUACUGAAGAUUUCUGUUGCAAAGUGGAAGAAAAGAUGGUCCGGUACAGGAUAAGUUCCCUUUUUGUGACAUAUAGUUGAUUGCAAGCAGCCUCUCCCAAUAAUAAAGACUAUUGUGUGGACCUUGUCAAUUCAUGGUUCCUGUUCUGAAUGAAGUUAGUGCUUCAAUGAAAGAUAAGAUCCAGGUGGUGAA